CCCAGAGACAGAUACGACUACCUUCCCAGGGUCCCCCACCACAUCCAAGAUACGGAGCCUGUUGGUUACCAGGAUCCAGAGCUGUCGAACCGUGUGCCCAAAGGACAAAGCUGUCUGAUUGGCUGCUGCAACGCCAACCUGGAGGAACCCAGCAGUUUCCACAGCCAGACAGAGGAUGAGGAUGUGAUACUGGACAAGUCCCUGGGCUACCUGCCCC